AAGGUCUUAGUUCAGUGGUAGAACAGCGGACUCCAAACCCGCAUGCGUAGGUUCGAUUCCUGCAGACUUUGCCA
rnacentral:tRNA from 1 species